UGGUUCUGGCAUCGAUGAAGAACGCAGCGAAAUGCGAUAAGUAAUGUGAAUUGCAGAAUUCAGUGAAUCAUCGAAUCUUUGAACGCACAUUGCGCCCUUUGGUAUUCCGAAGGGCAUGCCUGUUCGAGCGUCAUUUCAAACCCUCAAGCUUAUGCUUGGUGUUGGGCUAUUGUCUUUUGCAAAAAAGGAGACACGCCUGAAACUCAUUGGCAGUAGCGCCUAACUCUUCAGCGUAGUUAUUUUCAUUCCGCUUUAGUAGGUUAAGCAUUACCAGCCAGAUGAACCCCCCCAAUUUUUCUAUGGUUUGACCUCGGAUCAGGUAGGGAUACCCGCUGA
rnacentral:misc_RNA from 1 species